UGCCAGCCGCCGCGGUAAUACGAAGGGAACUAGCGUUGUUCGGAUUUAUUGGGUUUAAAGGGUCCGCAGGCUGUUUGUUAAGUCAGGGGUGAAAUCCUACCGCUCAACGGUAGAACUGCCUUUGAUACUGGCAAACUUGAGUUAUUGUGAAGUAGUUAGAAUGUGUAGUGUAGCGGUGAAAUGCAUAGAUAUUACACAGAAUACCAAUUGCGAAGGCAGAUUACUAACAAUACACUGACGCUGAGGGACGAAAGCGUGGGUAGCGAACAGGAUUAGAUA
rnacentral:rRNA from 1 species